UCUCUCCGCCCAUCAGGUUGCCAGGGAAUGUUACAGUCUCUUCACAGCACUUGUUCAGUCUGUCAGGAUGAAGACGAGAGAGAGAGGAACUAUGAGACAGAUCUUUCUGGAUUGAGCCCAGAUAUGACAACCAAAAACCUUAAUGCAGGUCAUAAUGAGAAUGUCUCUGGAAAUUCUGUCUUUUUCUCCUGCUCUUACAGUAAAGUCAAGGCAUGACAGUGUAUUGAGACACAAUGACAGUGGGAAUAUAUAAGGCAUUAUUCAGAGAAAGUUUUUACUUGAUGCACAACAUUCUAUUAGAAGAUUUUACAAAGGAUGCUUCAAUCGCAUACUCGUUUGCUGCUUCAUCUGUGUGUUGGCUGUGCUGAUAAACAAAGGUGAGAACAAAAACUACAUUUUAUUUAAUUUUUUCCUGAAGUGUAAAGUUAAAAAUGGCCCCCUCAAAAUGGGGCCAAAGACCCAAGGCGAUGUCUUACAGCAAAAUAUUAGGUUGCUUGAAAAUGUUAAAGUGGUAAAGAGUGAGUGAGAGUUAAUUGGAGGCAUUAAGCUUACCUCCACUUCAGGAUGAAACAGUCUGAGAGAAAAUUAUUACAGAGGA